CCCCCACAACUGGCUUCCUUCCGGCGCGUCCUACUGACAGCCAGGCCGCCCAGCCACCACAGAGAGCGGCGCAGAGCGGCUCUACCCCACCCAUAGAGACUGAGGCAGAGCAGAGACAGAGCGUCUUUCCUCAUAACCUUCUCUCCCCCGCCGACGCUGGGGCAGCGCUGCGGGCAGGUGCAGGUGCUCGCUCCCUCCCCCACCCGCAGGGAGACGAGCCAGCGCAGCCUGCCGGCCGGGCGCCCCCGACUCUCGUGAGUGACCCCACUCUGAAUGUGCCGGGGCGUCCUCCGCGCUGGGAUAGCGCAGACCUGCCGGGUUAGCCCGUUCGGGGCGGCAAGGGGCCACCUCGUCAGUGAGAGACCCUGUCCUCUCUGCCUCGACCGCCCGUGUAGUAGCCCAAACUCAGACUGCUCCCUGGCAGAAUUUCCUGUGCCACUACACCGGCGCUGCGGUUAGUGAGUCGCAAAGGAUGACAGCUGGAAAGAUCUACGAAAGAAAGACAGCGGGGGGAAGAUGAACCCUGUCUGGAAAAGGGAUCUGGUCUCUGAAUAUGGUGUCUGAAGAUUUAAGCUGCAAGCAGGGUAGCUAACCUGCAUUCUGCCCAAAAGCAACAUUUAGGCUGGGUGUGUCCCUACCUGUGUGUAUGCCAGAGAAAGCUUGAGGGCCUGGCACAGCUAAUACAGGGUGAAGAAACCCAGGUUGGUGGAACUGGCUGAACGAAUGGGACCCUAGCACAUCAGGUGGCAUCCCAGAUGGGAGGUCCAACCUGUCACAGUGGGAUUGUUUCCAGCUUCUUCCUAUCAUAGGCACUGGUCAUCAGUUGUGGGCAGAAGUUCCUUUUCCCUCCUGCACAGUUGUGCAGAGUGCUGCACAGCAUCUUUUACAUAGAUAUCAUGGAGGCAUCAGCUAGGCUCACACCCAGCAGAAAAUACAGCUUUGCAGCAUCACUCUGUGCUGGGACUACAGCACAGUGGGUUCCCCUGUAGCUUUUGGUUACUUGGCCUUAUGGUUUCCGUUCCCAGGAAGAGGCUACCCUUUCACCAACCUACCCAGAAGGGUUCUCCAUUGGCCACCUUAAGGAAGACUGAAGAGGAAUUAGAAGGGAAAGGAGAAAAUACCAAGGAUGAAGGGUACCAGGGAGAGAUGAGAUAUUGAAUUGAGAGAAGAAACUAGCAUCUGUACACAAGGUUUUGGGGAUGACUGCAUAAGAAGCAGAGAAUGGAGAAGGAAACAUCUGAAAAACACACAAAUUCCUUUAAAAAUUAAAAAAGAGAAAGUAGAGAAACAGAAGGAACAAAUAAAUAAGGCAAUACUGAAGAGGAUACAGGUAUUUAGAAAAAACAGGGCUCAUAAGGGACUGGGUAGAAACUGCAUAGUUAACUAUAGUUAUAGUUCAAACGUAUAGAUCUUAAUCAGAAUAUGUAAAACAGUAUAAGAACCUCCAAGUUAGCUUUAGCUCGACAGUGU